rnacentral:rRNA from 1 species
UACGAAGGGGGCUAGCGUUGCUCGGAAUUACUGGGCGUAAAGGGCGCGUAGGCGGAUAUUUAAGUUAGAGGUGAAAGCCCAGGGCUCAACCCUGGAAUAGCCUUUAAUACUGGAUAUCUUGAGUUCGGGAGAGGUGAGUGGAACUCCGAGUGUAGAGGUGAAAUUCGUAGAUAUUCGGAAGAACACCAGUGGCGAAGGCGACUCACUGGCCCGAUACUGACGGUGAGGCGCGAAAGCGUGGGGAGCAAACAGG